UACGUAGGGGGCAAGCGUUGUCCGGAUUUAUUGGGCGUAAAGAGCGUGUAGGCGGUUUGGUAGGUCCGCUGUGAAAACUCGAGCUCAACCUCGAGACGCCGGUGGAAACCAUCAGACUAGAGUCCGGAAGAGGAGAGUGGAAUUCCGUGGUGUAGCGGUGAAAUGCGCAGAGUAUCAGGAAGAACACCCGUGGCUAAGGCGGCUCUCUAGUACGGUACUGACGCUGAGACGCGAAAGCGUGGGGAGCGAACAGG
rnacentral:rRNA from 1 species